rnacentral:lncRNA from 1 species
AAGAGCACAAGAACACGGCUGGCUCCUCUCGGCCUCAACUUGGCCUCUUCACACUGGAGUAGCUGGUCACAUUAGUUUACUGAGAAAGAAAAAUGUACAAGAAUUUGAAGAAACUAAAGCACAGUACUGUUGCGCAUCAACCACACCGAGUAAAUUCUGCCUGACAUGGAAUCGUUUGGUCAGGUAUGUGCUUUGUACUCUAUGGCUUAUGAUUCAGUUUUCCACCUUGAGAUAUGAAAUCAAAACUUCAGAUCAUAUUCUAAAUUCACCAAGGAUAUACUGUGGUUAUUAUUAUGUCUUUGCUGCGGUCUAUGUUGAGGGUGAUACUGAGACUAGAGUCUACAACAACAACAUCAAUAAUUAACUGAACAUACCUGAGAUGUGUGGUCAACAUGAUGGUAUGUUAAUCCGAGGUUUGAGCAUUUUUUUCCUAUGGCGAUCUGUUUGUUUUAGAAAUAUUCAUUAGUCAAAUUUACUAAUGCAAAUGUGUUAGCCGAGCACGAGCUACCUGAGUUAUUUCUUGAAGAACUCCCGGCUAAUUUUUGUUCUCUUGAAAUACCACACCCACCCCUAUAAAACUAGGCAUACCAACAGGGACUAGCUCCUGUGGCUUUUCUGUAAAGGAGAGACAACCGGGAGCUGCUUGUGGAGUUAAGGGCUCUUAACGUAGUUCUUCAUGCAGCUUAAUUUGGACUCCUCUCAGUAUAUCGUGUUAUCAUUUCCGAAUCCAUGGCAUUCUCAUUCUUUACAGAAUUUUAGGUUUUGUUCAUUUUUCGUUCAUGUAUGGGAAAUUUAAUCUUUUCAGGCAAGCUUCACUUGGUUCAAUCUGGGGAUAGUGAUGUCAACAAAUCACUGGAAGAGUUAAGUAAGUGCAGUCUGUAUCUCCUUUUUUUGUACUCCCUCCGUUCCUAAAUAUAAGUCUUUUUAGAGAUUCCAAUAUGACUACAUACAAAGCAAAAUGGGUGAAUCUACACUCUAAAAUAUGUCUAUAUACAUCCGUAUGUAGUUUGUAUUGAAAUCUCUAAAAGGACUUAUAUUUAGAAACAGAGGGAGUAUAAGGGAAGGCAUCACAGUUUCUUCUUCUUCUUCUAAGCCUUUUGUCCCAAACAAGUUGGGGUAGGCUAGAUGAAACCCUUUCACGAGGACUUCCCAGGAGGUCACCCAUCCUAGUACUACUCUCGCCCAAAUGGGUUUCAUACCCAAAGGACUGGCUAGUUUUUACGUUGGCUCGCCAAGCCUAUCACAACCCUUAUAUAUGAAAUCCUUUCAUGAGGACUUCCCAAGAGGUCACCCAUCCUAGUACUACUCUCGCUCAAAUGGGUCUCAUACCCAUGGGACUGGCUAGUUUUUACGUUGGCUCGCCAAGCCUAUCACAACCCUCCUCCUUUACCCGGGCUUGGGACCGGCUAUGCCUAAAAGACAUAGGCGGAGUUAAGGGAAGGCAUCACAUCACAGCACAUCACAUCACAUCACAUCACAGCUAGUUUUUUUUUGUUUUUGUUUUUUUUUUCACAGGGAAGGCAUCACAGCACAGUAAAAAAAAUGUAGAACAUCGGACAGGCAGCGUUGCUGUUCUUUCCAGUGAACAGACUUGUGUGCAUAAAGAAGUGCUUUAGCCUGUAACAGGUGUUCAUCACAUAAGAUCAUCACAGCAACCUUCCUUUUGGAAGGGGAUGAUGGGCUAUUUUAGUUGCGACCUGAUACCGAGGGACAAUGAGCAAGAGAGUUGGCCAACUGAAGUGUUAGUUUCAGGGUACAUUUGCCGAAACGCUUUUAUUAGUUUCAUCCAUAAUACCGGGACUGGAGAUCUGAAUGCCCUUGUAUAUGCAAGCGGUGUGCUCUCUCUCCCCAUUUUUUUUAGUGUAUGGGUGCUCUUCGGGUUGUUGAAAUCGAGUUUGUAUGGAGCUCCAUAACAGCAGGACGGUAUGCGUGGACUUUUAUUUUGGAUAAUGCUUCUGCGUACUGUGUUGAACUGCAAUUUGUCUGGUGAGUUUAACUGAAAUAUAUGUAAUAUGCAUGGCAGAGGAAAUGUUGUGGCAAGAUUAACUGCGGUGAAGCAGCACCAAACGGGAACCUGAUUCAUCUGUUAAUGUUAAGACAGGCUCAGAAACGACACCAGAAGAUGGAGGGAAGGUGCCUUGUCCGACCAAAUGGAAAUAAAAUAUGUCCUUCAGAGGUUAUUCUGUGUUAUUCAAGCGCAAACCUGCGCAAGGCUUCAAGAUCGGCCAAAACGAAUCUUUGUAUCUGUUCUCUUUAACAGCGGCUCUGAUCCUCCUAAUCUUUUGGACAUCAGUUGCCUACUGUGUAUUUUCACAUGUAUUUUUUAUUCUGUCGUGCAUUCUUUUGUACAUUUGUUUCCUAUUGUGUGUUUUGCCGUCGAAAUGAACAUCAAAGAUCUAAAAAAUCUAAGAUACAAAUGCAAGUCUACUUAACCAAAAACUCGUAAAUUUCAACUACCAAAAACAUGAAGAAGCAUACAAAGUCUUAUCAAAACAUAAGAUUGUCAGAAGUAACAGACAACUACAAGCUUAUACAAUCGGGCGCUAAAAAACUUAAGAUUCAGAAGCCUUCACAGGACAUCUACACAGGUGUCUAAAUAAAAAUUGUCCACAAAAGAAGGAUAUAUGACAGGAUGCAGCUAUCGAAAACAGAGUUUAAGAUGACAGAAUAUAUUCAAGAAAAAGAUAUAUAAUGCGCUCACAAGAUAAGCUUAAGCUGACCCACAUGCCCUGCUCACGCACAUGCUCUAGAGCAAGCUUUGCGUGAAGGAGGAGGCGGCCGUGCAGCCGUGCCCGUGGCCGUGGAGCCGUGGAGGUUGAGCAGCGGAGGAGAAAGGGGGGAGCGUCCGGCGGCGGCGUGGAAGAGGCGACCGGCGGCGGCUUGCGUUAGAGGAGCUAG